UUUAUUGGAACUGGAUGAAAGGCUCAACAAACACAUAAUUUUUUAUUUUUAGAUGUUAUAAUUUUUAAUUUACGUAAAAAUACGUAAAUGAAUUUAAGGGACGAUAAGACCCUAAAAGCUUUAUUAUUUAAAUUUUUGUUAUUAUUUAGAUUUUAUUGUUUAAUGUAUUUUAACUGGGGCGGUUGUUUUUUUAACAAAAAUUUUUUUUACAAAUAGGAUUAAAGAUCCUUAAAAUUAGGAGAGAUUGUUUAAGUUACUUUAGGGAUAACAGCGUUAUAAUAAUAGGGAGACCUUAUUUAUAUUGUUGAUUGCGACCUCGAUGUUGAAUUAAAUUUUUCUAUAUAAAGCAGAAAUUAUAUAUGAAAGUUUGUUCAACUUUUAAAUUUUUACAUGAUCUGAGUUCAAA
rnacentral:rRNA from 1 species